rnacentral:rRNA from 1 species
AUUGAACGCUGGCGGCCGGCCUAACACAUGCAAGUCGAACGAGUGGCGGACGGGCGAGACAUGUCUGGAAAAAUGCCUGAUGGAGGGGGCUAACUACUGGCAACGGUAGCUAAUACCGCAUCCCAUCGGCUGUGCCCAGAUGGGAUUAGCUAGGAGGUGGGGUAAAGGCUCACCUAGGCGAAGCUCCCUAGCUGGUCUGAGAGGAUGACCAGACACACUGGAACUGAGACACGGUCCAGACUCCUACGGGAGGCAGCAGUGGGGAAUAUUGCACAAUGGGCGCAAGUCUGAUGCAGCCAUGCCGCGUGUAUGAAGAAGGCCGUCGGGUUGUAAAGUACUUUCGUCGGGGAGGCGUUACCCGCAGAAGAAGCACCGGCUAACUCCGUGCCAGCAGCCGCGGUAAUUC